AUGCAGCAUCUACUUAUUUUUAAAAAUGUAUUAACUGUAAAGCAGCCUCAGACAGGUCCUUUAGGGGGUAUGCCAGAAGAAGGAAUUGUUAUUAUAAAAGAUGUUAGCUCCACGCAUGUCACUGACCCUGAAGACCUUCCAGUGGGACAAGACGUGGAGGUGGAAGAUGGGACAUGGAUGAAUCUGGAAAACAUCAUCCUCAGCAAACUGACACAAGAACAGAAAAUGAAACACCGCAUAUUCUCACUCAUAGCUCCUAGGCUUGUGCAGCAAGUAUGCAAGACAGCAUUCUAAAACCUGUGAUAGACACUCCACAGUAUAACUUGGGUGAGUCUCGUGUAAACUGAUGCCUUAUGGCUAUCAUAGUAUUAGAGUAACUAUGUCAAAGUGAUUUUUCUUGUGUUGUGGAUAUCUAAUGAUAGUGAUAGGAAGUAAUUGUGAAGAGCAAGAGCUCAGACUGAUUUGUGGUUUAGGUUACUUUUUGAAUAUUAGUGGACAAUAUUUGACAUAUGACACUGUAUUAUUGAGCCUGAAUUAUUAAAUCUAAUAUACAGUACAAUAUGACUCUGGUUUUUAGUGGAGCUGAGGGUGGAUAUUGCUUUCCUGGGGACACUGUUGACAUAAAAAAGACACAUACACACGUACCAUAGAUAAUGCUCUUUCAGCCACAUCAAACAAAGAAGACAUUGUUUGAGACUUUUGACACCACCGAAACUCAGGUCAGCUAAAGAAAAAGGAAAUAAAUCCCAAAAACUUUCACUUUAGUUUUUCA
rnacentral:lncRNA from 13 species